CUCCGUCGCAGGGUGGGUGCCCGCGCCCGCAGCGUCAGCGGGGCGGCGCGGCGGGAGGUGGCCGAUCGGCUCCCGGCCUCGCAGCCCAGCCCCCGGCCCAGCGGGCCUUACCGCCGCCGCGCCUGGCCGAACCGACCGCACGCUCCGGCUCCCUCGCGGGCGGGAGAACGGAAAACUCCCAACUUCCUGCAACCAGGGAUUUAAGAUAAAUACAACCAGCAUAGAGAAACUCAAAACUAUACAUAAGCCAAACCCAGAUGCCAAGAAGUGGGGAUGAAGGCAGGAUUUCUGACCCUUUGGUUCAGCCGGCCCUGCAAAUAAAAUCCAACCAAAAGAAAUCAAGAAAAUAACCACGAUUCAUACUGAGCUGUGGGAGAAAGAGGGGUGACGGGACAAAGGCUGCCUGUGGAGAGAGGACGGGGUCACUGCUUAAUGAUGGCACCUGGCUCAGCCCCAGCAGACCACAAGAAGCCGGCCCCAGACUCACUCAGUGCCUCCAGCAGCUGUGCGGACGCCGCAUCCUUGGCUGCCGUCAUGCCCGUCCUGCCCAUCUGGGGCCAGCGCAACCCAGAUAAGGCCGCUGAAAGGCACUGGAUGACCAGGGAUCACCGCCUGGUACCAGAAGUGGUGCCAGCCAGCAGGUCCUGUCCCCAAACACUUGGUGAGGAACACUGGGCUGCCCAGCCUCAUUUGUUGGCACAGCAGCUGGAGGGCAGCCAGAGCCCCUUGGGACCCUAGCCUGUCCCUAACCAAGGCCAAUCGGCUGCCCUGCGGCUGUAGGCACCGCAGUGAGGGACCCGCAAGCUGCUGGCGGAGUCGCUGCUUCGGGCCUGGCUUGAGCCACUCCACGGCCACCUGCCCUCCACAGAGGCGUGACAGCCCUCCCACCAGGGCCUUUGGGGGCAGGCGGCGGCGCUGCGCUGCGAGCUGAACUUGAGCAGCGCGAUCUGCGCGGGCGCCGCCGGGGCUGGGCAGCAGCAGCGCCCCCCUGCAGGCCGGGCGCGGAGGCUGCAGCGCGAGCAG